rnacentral:rRNA from 1 species
GACGAACCGAGCGAACGUUGUUCGGAAUCACUGGGCUUAAAGGGCGCGUAGGCGGGUGCUCAAGUCCGUGGUGAAAUCCUCCGGCUCAACCGGAGAACUGCCUCGGAUACUGGGCGUCUCGAGUGUGGUAGGGGUAUGCGGAACUAUCGGUGGAGCGGUGAAAUGCGUUGAUAUCGAUAGGAACUCCGGUGGCGAAAGCGGCAUACUGGACCACCACUGACGCUGAUGCGCGAAAGCCAGGGGAGCAAACGGG